rnacentral:rRNA from 1 species
UACGAAGGGGGCUAGCGUUGCUCGGAAUCACUGGGCGUAAAGGGUGCGUAGGCGGGUCUUUAAGUCAGGGGUGAAAUCCUGGAGCUCAACUCCAGAACUGCCUUUGAUACUGAGGAUCUUGAGUUCGGGAGAGGUGAGUGGAACUGCGGAGUGUAGAGGUGAAAUUCGUAGAUAUUCGCAAGAACACCAGUGGCGAAGGCGGCUCACUGGCCCGAUACUGACGCUGAGGCACGAAAGCGUGGGGAGCAAACAGG